GCCAGGUGUGGUGGUGCACAUCUGUAAUCCCGGUGACUUUGGAGGCUGAGGCAGGAGGAUCACAAAUUCAAGGCCAGCAGCUCAGCAAGACUCUGAGUAACUUAGUGAGACCCUGCCUAUC
rnacentral:sRNA from 1 species